UAAUAUAUAUGUUUAAUAUUUAUUUGAGCAGUAUAUUUUUAAUCACUAUAAAAUUUAAAAUUUUAAUUUUAAUUUCUAUAAUAAAAUUCUUAAAGUUUUAGCCCGAUAAUAUUUUAUGUUAGCACGUUUAGUCUCUAUUAGUCAUAUUGUUAAGUAAACUCAUAUGUAUCUUUUGAAUAAUUUUUUGUAAAUAUAUUUAUAAUAUUAAGAUUUCACCCAUAAAAAUUUAGAUUUUUUGACAAAUAAUGAACUAAAUAUAAGCGCAAAACCCUCAAGUGAAGAAGUCAAAAAAAUAGAAAUUUGAACAUAGAAAAUAAAUUUUAAACUUAAAUUUAUUGAACUAAAAUUAAAGUUUUAAUAUUUUAUAUAUAACAAAAAUAUAUUUAAUUUUAUUUAUUUUAGUUUUUAUAAUCCAUGUUGAAAUGACUAAAAUAAAAUAAUCUACACAUUAGAGUGACUAGUUCCAAACAAAAGUAACACAAAAACACAAUCUCUAGAAAAGUUGUUUAUUUGCAAAGAUUAACAGCUAAAACUUUGUUUACAAUAACUAAAAAGUAAAAGUUCUACAUUUGAUUUACAGAGAGCAAAACAAAACAUAUUUAAACUAAAUAAUUAUCGACAUAUUUAAAUUACAUAAUUGAAUGAUAUAUUUAUAUUAAGUAAUUAGCUUAUAAAAGCGAUGAAAAAUUUUUAACGGAGUUCUAAUUAAAAAAAAAUUAACAAGGAUCAUAUUUAUGACCUCUUUUAUAGUACUUCUUCGAUGUUAGCCAUACAAUUGGCUAAUUCUUGGAAGACUUUUAGUGCUAUAUUUAUUAUUUUGACAUAUUUUAAAAAAUAUUUUGAAUUAUGAGCAUUAUUAUAAAUAAAAUUUAAUUAUUAAACUAUUUAUUCUGUAAUUCUU
rnacentral:lncRNA from 1 species